ensembl:lncRNA
CCACACAUUUGCAUGUAGCACACAGAACUCGCGUCGGAUGUCUAACCUCUUCAAAUCAACAGUCAGGCAAGUCGUCCAACGCCUCACAUUAUGCUGGACAGCAGCAGCUUGUUGUGAUUUCAGGGCUCGUAAUAACGAAGGCCUCAGUUGUCUUCGAGUGGGCUUUACUUCUGUUCAUUAACACCGACGUGAACUCUGUUGUGUAAGCAAAGACAAAACGAUGCCCGACCAUCCACGACACGAUCCACUCCUACAAAGAAGAAGGUCAUCCUAGGCAGGGGGGAUAAAAUAUAGAACGUGCCACGCAAAACCACAAUGUGGUAGUUUAAUUAAAAGAAUUCAUUACAGUGGGAGCCCAAGGUAAUUAGCAUGCAUAAUUUAUGAUUUGCUUAAUGCACGUCGGCCGAGGCGUCGGUAAUAAACUCGACUUAACCUCCAGCGGAGAGAGAUGAAAUGGACAGGGGACGACUGUUUAUUGUCGAGCAAUAAGUCAAAUACGUUUGAUAGAACUUUGGUUGAUUCUUGGCUUUUGCUGAACUCGAAAGACUUCAUUUGUUUUGCAGGAUGAGACUCAGUCAGCAAAGGUAACGUAAACAAGGAGGUGUUGUGACAGAUAUCGAUGGUUUAAAGGCAAAUAGCGUCAAGCAGUUCGCUAAACCAAUCAUUUUAUAUCCCAAAGGGUUAAAUGACAGGAUGUAAAUCAAAACAGGUGGCUCUGCAGAGGACAAAUAAAUCACUGGAGCAAAGUGGGAGAGAAACAGAGAGAGAGGGCUCUGUUGUUUUGUUGCCCGGGUCACCAAAGUCAAACAAAGUCACCUCUCUUGGCCCCUCCGAUGACUUCCGCAAACAAAACCAAUAGUUGCAUCAUGGGGCAAGUGGAUGUCUAGAAAUGGGAAGAAAGUGGCAGGCAAACCUGAAAGUUCACCCUGGGAAGUUUCACUCCAUCCUCUGCCCCAUUAAAACUCAUCACAACCGGGAUGGCGACCGACCGAAGAAGGGCUCUCGAGCAACACCGUGUCCCAGUAAGGGGGGCCGCUCACUCUUUUGAGCUCUUCUCUGGCGGGGCUGUAAAGCGCUGGCCUCUCAGGCCACAAAUCAGCUCCUGAAAGCAGGCAUGCAUCUUCAAAGGGUGGGCUGCCCCUCUGUGAUAUACGGCCCCCGCCGAGAACAAGUUAGCCACGGCCAGUGUCUUUGCACCUGGGCUAUUAUCAGGCGACCGGGAUCAUCUCCUCUCACCACACAUUCAAAUGUACAAGUAGCAGAUUAGGCUGACUCAAUCUUCUUUCCCUCUGAAGGAUAGGGUGAGGGAAAAGAGAGGGAAAGCCAAAAGAAAGGAACCUCCUCGGACUUCAAAAAGAGCUCUCCGCUUCUGUCCUUCUGAGAGAGUGAAAGGCCCGGGAGAUGAGAACGGAGGGGGGCUUGUGUAUUCAGAGAACUAAUUCAGAACUGAUUCCUCUAAUACACUCCUGAAACACUUUUAAUUGUGUUAGUUUGCAUUCAAAAGGCACGUUUGCAGCUUUUAAUUGGCGAGCUCUUUGAAAUAAUUGAAAUGUGUGACUUUGUGGGGGACAACUUAAACAGUUCUAAUGUGCUUUGCUGGUAGGUGCUGGAUGCCCAUUAUUCCCUCAUUCUAACGCUGUGGCGAUUUGAAGGGGUCUUGAGCUGUUCUCUAAAUAAAAUGGCUAUCGAGGUUUGGCA